CCUACGGGGUGCAGCAGUGGGGAAUAUUGGGCAAUGGGCGCAAGCCUGACCCAGCAACGCCGCGUGAAGGAAGAAGGCUUUCGGGUUGUAAACUUCUUUUAAGGGGGAAGAGCAGAAGACGGUACCCCUUGAAUAAGCCACGGCUAACUACGUGCCAGCAGCCGCGGUAAUAUGUAGGUGGCAAGCGUUGUCCGGAUUUACUGGGUGUAAAGGGCGUGCAGCCGGAGAGACAAGUCAGAUGUGAAAUCCACGGGCUCAACCCGUGAACUGCAUUUGAAACUGUUUCCCUUGAGUGUCGGAGAGGUAAUCGGAAUUCCUUGUGUAGCGGUGAAAUGCGUAGAUAUAAGGAAGAACACCAGUGGCGAAGGCGGAUUACUGGACGAUAACUGACGGUGAGGCGCGAAAGCGUGGGGAGCAAACGGGAUUAGAUACCCCUGUAGUC
rnacentral:rRNA from 1 species